rnacentral:rRNA from 1 species
UACGUAGGGUCCGAGCGUUGUCCGGAAUUACUGGGCGUAAAGCGUGCGCAGGCGGUGAUGUAAGACCGAUGUGAAAUCCCCGGGCUUAACCUGGGAACUGCAUUGGUGACUGCAUUGCUGGAGUAUGGCAGAGGGGGGUGGAAUUCCACGUGUAGCAGUGAAAUGCGUAGAGAUGUGGAGGAACACCGAUGGCGAAGGCAGCCCCCUGGGCCAAUACUGACGCUCAUGCACGAAAGCGUGGGGAGCAAACAGG